rnacentral:rRNA from 1 species
AUGGAGCCGACCUUGAAAUACCACCCUUUAAUGUUUGAUGUUCUAACGUUGACCCGUAAUCCGGGUUGCGGACAGUGUCUGGUGGGUAGUUUGACUGGGGCGGUCUCCUCCUAAAGAGUAACGGAGGAGCACGAAGGUUGGCUAAUCCUGGUCGGACAUCAGGAGGUUAGUGCAAUGGCAUAAGCCAGCUUGACUGCGAGCGUGACGGCGCGAGCAGGUGCGAAAGCAGGUCAUAGUGAUCCGGUGGUUCUGAAUGGAAGGGCCAUCGCUCAACGGAUAAAAGGUACUCCGGGGAUAACAGGCUGAUACCGCCCAAGAGUUCAUAUCGACGGCGGUGUUUGGCACCUCGAUGUCGGCUCAUCACAUCCUGGGGCUGAAGUAGGUCCCAAGGGUAUGGCUGUUCGCCAUUUAAAGUGGUACGCGAGCUGGGUUUAGAACGUCGUGAGACAGUUCGGUCCCUAUCUGCCGUGGGCGCUGGAGAACUGAGGGGGGCUGCUCCUAGUACGAGAGGACCGGAGUGGACGCAUCACUGGUGUUCGGGUUGUCAUGCCAAUGGCACUGCCCGGUAGCUAAAUGCGGAAGA